rnacentral:rRNA from 1 species
UACGUAGGGUGCAAGCGUUAAUCGGAAUUACUGGGCGUAAAGCGCACGUAGGCGGUUCGUUAAGUCUGUCGUGAAAUCCCCCGGGCUCAACCUGGGAAUGGCGAUGGAUACUGGCGAGCUAGAGUGUGUCAGAGGAUGGUGGAAUUCCCGGUGUAGCGGUGAAAUUCGUAGAUAUUGGGAAGAACACCGGUGGCGAAAGGCGGCUUUC